ACUUUUAAAGGAUAACAGCUAAUCCACUGGU
rnacentral:tRNA from 1 species